GAUGGGUGGGUGUAAACUGUACAUGCAUGGGAGGCGGCCCACACACAUACAAGACCACUAUUUUCUUUUUUUUUUUAGUUUGGUUUGAAAUUACGUAUUUAGAGGAUUGUCGUCUGGGAAGAUUACGCUACGCAGUGCCUGCCGACCUGAACGAAAUUUUUGGCAAUGUUCAGGUUCGGAGGCGAUUUCGGAGGUCGAACGGCUCGUCAAACGCGGUUGUCGAACCUGGUUGUCAAACGGUCCGAAGAGUUGUCAGACAGCCACGCCCACGAAAAGUCAGACUCGAACAGACUUUCAUCGACUCUAGAUCACGUGACCAAAACCAUUGACUGUUUUCAAACAUCAGGCCAGGCAUUCACCUCAGGAUGGCGUCCACUCGAAGACCUUUGCACCCAUGUUCCGGCUGUGGGAAAGAAGUUCGACCACGGCAACAGGCUAUAUUGUGUGUGACAGCUGUCACCAGUGGAGACACAGGCUUUGUGUCACAAACAUAACUCAGGCGAUGUACAGACAGAUCAACAAGGAAUUAAAACAGGGUGGAUCCUUUGAUUGAACGUGCCCCAGUGCCCUACCCACCACCCACCAGAGUGCCCAGGCACUAGUGCUUGCAGUUUUACGCCCAGCCAUUCAACAGAAGAAUUGUCUGAUGAGUGCCUAGACAUUAUUGACUGUCUAGAGGAUUCCUUUGAGUAUAUGACCAUAAUAGACAUUAACAGUUCAUUUACGGUCGAUUUACCUAUUGAUCCAGUUAUUCCAGUGCAAGAAAAUUCAAUAGAAAAUGAACCACUGUUACAAGAAAAUCUAACUAAUGAUCGACCAGUGACUUAUGAAAUUAUUCCUGGGGGUACAAAACGCGGGAAGCCACGAUUACAUAGUUCUGCUGGAUACAUGUACACAAUAAGAAAAGCAAGUGAAACUGUGACCUAUUGGACUUGCAGCAUUAGGCAAAAGAACAACGUGUCCAGCUAGUGUAAUUCAGAGAGGGACAUAUUUCAGAGCAGGAGAACAGGCUCACAACCAUCCUGCCACACCUGGGCUCCUUUCUGCCACCACAGUGUCGGUAGCCGUGAAGGAACGCUGUGAACGAGCAGUACGUGUCUACCCAAGCAUAAAUAUCUAGGAUAACUAUAUAUCAUAAAUGAGAUUCUAUACUUAUACAAAUUCAGAUAUCAAUGUAUUGGUUAUUGCGAGCUCUUUCUUUAUCAUUAUCGUGUACAGCAAUGGUUGUUUGUCAAAACAGUAAAUGUUAGGUAGUUUUCACAGCGAGUGUUUGCAUCUCCCGCGGAUAAACAUAAAAACGAGGUAGCAUCUAAGAGGCAGACUAUUACAUUCCUUUUCUUCUCUAUUUCUACCGCCUCUGUUCAUGAUUGUGUUCUUUUCAAUACACCAGAGAGAACUGAUAAUAAGUACAGGAAUAUUAACAUUUUCUCAUGCA